rnacentral:rRNA from 1 species
UACGUAGGGGGCGAGCGUUGUCCGGAUUUACUGGGCGUAAAGCGCGUGUAGGCGGGAGAUUAAGUUGGGUGUGAAAGCCCGGGGCUCAACCCCGGGAUGCCGCCCAAGACUGGUCUCCUUGAGGACGGAAGAGGGGAGUGGAAUUCCUGGUGUAGCGGUGAAAUGCGUAGAUAUCAGGAGGAACACCGAUGGCGAAGGCAGGUCUCUGGGCCACUACUGACGCUGAGAAGCGAAAGCAUGGGGAGCGAACAGG